rnacentral:tRNA from 1 species
GUUAUUGUGGUGUAAUGAACACGUUACAUUUUCGUUGUAGAGAUAAAGAAUUAUCUUUUAAUAAUA